UGAGGAAUAUUGGACAAUGGGCGCAAGCCUGAUCCAGCCAUGCCGCGUGCAGGAAGAAGCAUCUAUGGUGUGUAAACUGCUUUUGUACGGGAAGAAACACUCCUUCGUGAAGGAGCUUGACGGUACCGUAAGAAUAAGGAUCGGCUAACUCCGUGCCAGCAGCCGCGGUAAUACGGAGGAUCCAAGCGUUAUCCGGAAUCAUUGGGUUUAAAGGGUCCGUAGGCGGUUUAGUAAGUCAGUGGUGAAAGCCCAUCGCUCAACGAUGGAACGGCCAUUGAUACUGCUAGACUUGAAUUAUUAGGAAGUAACUAGAAUAUGUAGUGUAGCGGUGAAAUGCUUAGAUAUUACAUUGGAUACCAAUUGCGAAGGCAGGCUACUACUAAUGCAUUGACGCUGAUGGACGAACGCGUGGGGAGCGAAC
rnacentral:rRNA from 1 species